AUUACCGAGUUGACUACUCCCAAACCCCUGUGAACAUACCAUAACCGUUGCUUCGGCGGACCACCCCCGGCUAACCCCGCGGGCCCGCCAGAGGACCCAAACCCAACUGUAUUUUUGUCUUCUGUUACAACGUAUUCUGAGUGGAGUUUUAAAUAAAUCAAAACUUUCAACAACGGAUCUCUUGGCUCUGGCAUCGAUGAAGAACGCAGCGAAAUGCGAUAAGUAAUGUGAAUUGCAGAAUUCAGUGAACCAUCGAAUCUUUGAACGCACAUUGCGCCCGCCAGUACUCUGGCGGGCAUGCCUGUUCGAGCGUCAUUUCAACCCUCAAGCCCCCCGGGCUUGGCGUUGGGGAUCGGCACCCGGCGGCGGCCCCCCGCGGCCCCCGCCCGCCGUCCCCCAAAUCCAGUGGCGGUCACGUCGCGGCCUUCUAUGCGUAGUAGCAACACCUCGCACCGGAGCCCGACGCGCCCACGCCGUAAAACCCCCGACUUUUAUUUAGUUGACCUCGAAUCAGGUAGGACUACCCGCUGAACUUAAGCAUAUCAAUAAGCGGAGGAAAAGAAACCAACAGGGAUUGCCCCAGUAACGGCGAGUGAAGCGGCAACAGCUCAAAUUU
rnacentral:rRNA from 1 species